rnacentral:rRNA from 1 species
UACAGAGGUCUCAAGCAUUGUUCGGAUUCAUUGGGCGUAAAGGGUGCGUAGGCGGCGCGGUAAGUCGGGUGUGAAAUCUCGGAGCUUAACUCCGAAACUGCAUUCGAUACUGCCGUGCUUGAGGACUGGAGAGGAGACUGGAAUUUACGGUGUAGCGGUGAAAUGCGUAGAUAUCUGGAGGAACACCGGUGGCGAAGGCGGCAUCCUGGACCAACACUGACACUGAGGAGCGAAAGCCAGGGGAGCAAACGGG